rnacentral:rRNA from 1 species
AAAGGAAUUCGACGGGGGCCCGCACAAGCGGUGGAGUAUGUGGUUUAAUUCGAUGCAACGCGAAGAACCUUACCAGGACUUGACAUCUCUGGAAUCUCCUUGAAAGGGAGAGUGCCGUAAGGAACCAGAAGACAGGUGCUGCAUGGCUGUCGUCAGCUCGUGUCGUGAGAUGUUGGGUUAAGUCCCGCAACGAGCGCAACCCUCGUCGUUAGUUGCCAUCAUUAAGUUGGGAACUCUAGCGAGACUGCCGGUGACAAACCGGAGGAAGGUGAGGAUGACGUCAAGUCAGCAUGGCCCUUACGUCCUGGGCGACACACGUACUACAAUGCGAGGGACAGAGAGCAGCCAACCCGCGAGGGAGAGCGAACCUCUUAAACCCUGGCACAGUUCAGAUUGCAGGCUGCAACUCGCCUGCAUGAAGGAGGAAUCGCUAGUAAUCGCAGGUCAGCAUACUGCGGUGAAUCCGUUCCCGGGCCUU